rnacentral:rRNA from 1 species
CGGACGGGUGAGUAACGCGUGGGUAACCUGCCUUGUACUGGGGGACAACAGUUGGAAACGACUGCUAAUACCGCAUAAGCGCACAGCUUCGCAUGAAGCAGUGUGAAAAACUCCGGUGGUACAAGAUGGACCCGCGUCUGAUUAGCUGGCUGGUGAGGUAACGGCCCACCAAGGCGACGAUCAGUAGCCGGCCUGAGAGGGUGAACGGCCACAUUGGGACUGAGACACGGCCCAAACUCCUACGGGAGGCAGCAUG